rnacentral:rRNA from 1 species
GAUGAACGCUAGCGGCGGGCCUAAUACAUGCAAGUCGAACGGUGCAGCAAUGCAUAGUGGCAGACGGGUGCGUAACGCGUAUGCAACCUACCUUUUAUCGGGGGACAACAUUUCGAAAGAAGUGCUAAUACCGCGUAAGAUAGUAGUGGGACAUCCCACAGCUAUUAAACUUUCGGGGAUAGAAGAUGGGCAUGCGUCUGAUUAGCUAGUUGGCGGGGUAACGGCCCACCAAGGCGACGAUCAGUAGGGGAACUGAGAGGUUGAUCCCCCACACUGGCACUGAGAUACGGGCCAGACUCCUACGGGAGGCAGCAGUAGGGAAUAUUGGGCAAUGGACGGAAGUCUGACCCAGCCACGCCGCGUGCAGGAGGAAGGCGCUCUGCGUUGUAAACUGCUUUAGCAGGGGAAGAAAAGACUCAUGCGUGAGGAAUUGACGGUACCCUGAGAAUAAGCACCGGCUAACUACGUGCCAGCAGCCGCGGUAAU